GGUGAAGUGGCAGAGCUGGCCGAAUGCGCUCCCCUGCUAAGGGAGUGUACCAAUUAAAAAUGGUACCGAGAGUUCAAAUCUCUCCUUCACCGCCA
rnacentral:tRNA from 1 species